AUGCAGUCGAGCGAACAGACGAGGAGCUUGCUCCUCUGACGUUAGCGGCGGACGGGUGAGUAACACGUGGAUAACCUACCUAUAAGACUGGGAUAACUUCGGGAAACCGGAGCUAAUACCGGAUAACAUGUUGAACCGCAUGGUUCAACAGUGAAAGACGGUUUUGCUGUCACUUAUAGAUGGAUCCGCGCCGCAUUAGCUAGUUGGUAAGGUAACGGCUUACCAAGGCAACGAUGCGUAGCCGACCUGAGAGGGUGAUCGGCCACACUGGAACUGAGACACGGUCCAGACUCCUACGGGAGGCAGCAGUAGGGAAUCUUCCGCAAUGGGCGAAAGCCUGACGGAGCAACGCCGCGUGAGUGAAGAAGGUCUUCGGAUCGUAAAACUCUGUUAUUAGGGAAGAACAAAUGUGUAAGUAACUAUGCACGUCUUGACGGUACCUAAUCAGAAAGCCACGGCUAACUACGUGCCAGCAGCCGCGGUAAUACGUAGGUGGCAAGCGUUAUCCGGAAUUAUUGGGCGUAAAGCGCGCGUAGGCGGUUUUUUAAGUCUGAUGUGAAAGCCCACGGCUCAACCGUGGAGGGUCAUUGGAAACUGGAAAACUUGAGUGCAGAAGAGGAAAGUGGAAUUCCAUGUGUAGCGGUGAAAUGCGCAGAGAUAUGGAGGAACACCAGUGGCGAAGGCGACUUUCUGGUCUGUAACUGACGCUGAUGUGCGAAAGCGUGGGGAUCAAACAGGAUUAGAUACCCUGGUAGUCCACGCCGUAAACGAUGAGUGCUAAGUGUUAGGGGGUUUCCGCCCCUUAGUGCUGCAGCUAACGCAUUAAGCACUCCGCCUGGGGAGUACGACCGCAAGGUUGAAACUCAAAGGAAUUGACGGGGA
rnacentral:rRNA from 1 species